UAGCAGGAGGAGUAAACACG
rnacentral:misc_RNA from 1 species